rnacentral:rRNA from 1 species
CACGCCGUAAACGUUGGGCACUAGGUGUGGGGUCUUUUCAACGGAUUCCGUGCCGUCGCUAACGCAUUAAGUGCCCCGCCUGGGGAGUACGGCCGCAAGGCUAAAACUCAAAGGAAUUGA